rnacentral:ribozyme from 1 species
UUUUUUUUUUUUUUUUUUUUUUUUUUUUUUUUUGACC